rnacentral:lncRNA from 1 species
GAAGGAAAUUUCUGGAAUUUCGUGUGAAAGAUUGGUUGCUAGCUGAGGUAAUUUCUGGUCUAAAAUAGGUUGAUUAUUAGUUGAUCAAGCUAUAUCAGAGAUUACAUGUUUAGAUUAUACAAUCGGAUGCUGAAAUCAAAACCUUAGGAAAAUUUCUGUUUUGAGAAAUUGUUGCUACCGAGACUUGAGGUGUUAUUGCAGCUCCAAUUUUGUUUUGUGUGAUAAUCUGAACACCCAAAUGUCUUUAGCUGAGUAAGAACUGGAAGAUUAAGACCAUGUAUGAUGAAUUGGGCAUUCGAAUGAAGUGUUAAAGCAGAGAUAAAUUUCUGGGUUAGUUUGGGGUAAGAAAAUGUUGCCGUGAGCUUGAGCAGAAAAUGUAAGUUUAACUUGCCUAAAUGUGACCCUCUGAAUUGAUCCCUGUGCUUAAUUAGUCAAUAACUAAUUAGUUAAGCUGUGCAUGUAGCAAUGAGAUGGUCUAAACCAGAAAAAUAAAAAGGAAAAUUUGAAAGUGGUUCAUGCAUGAUCACCGAGGCUCAUGGGAGAAUUUCUGGAUUUUUGGGAAAUUUGUAGUUGUUAAUUGAAUUCAAUUUUUGAGUUAAAAAUGUUAACUAGUUAGCUAAGUGUUUGCAUGUUAAAUUUGGGGUACCUAACACCAUGUUUUAACCGAGGGAAAAUUUGAUCUAAGACAUACAAGUUGCUGGAAAAUUUUUGAAAGUCGCAAGGUGGAGCUGGAAAUUUCAAUUAGCUUCUGGAAUUUUUCCUUGGAAGAAAAAUGGUUCAGAAAUGUAUAAAAAAAAAUGUGUGCCUAAGCCAUGUAGGUGGUUUAGCUAUGAAACAAUGGUUGUAUUGGAAGUUUGGACCAAAAGGUUGGAACGAAAAUGCUGAAAAUUGUGUUAGUAGCCGAGAGACUUGGAUUGGAAAUGUUAACUCGUUUCUGGAAUUUUUCUUAGAGUAUAGUGGUUUUGAAUUACAUGAGAAAUAUGUAUUUAAGCGUUAUUUGACUUGGUAGAUGCUGGUAUGAAUGUCAUACUUAGAGGAAUGGAUGGUUUGAAUAAAAGUUUUAUGGUUUUAAAAGAGAAAAGGAGUUUUUCACAAUUGGAAAAUGAGAUUCCAGAUUUUCGGAUUUCACUAACCAGUCUCAGGAAAAUGCUUAUAUCUUGGUGUAGAAAAAUCCGAUUGAGGUGCCGUCAGUGGCAUUUGAAACUAGAGUCAUGGGCCUUUGUUCUGUAGAAACUUUAUAUUUUUCCUCCAUGUGUACGGCUGUACGUGACUCCUCAAAGUAGGCUGUCUUGACUUAAUGUCCUGUUUCUUCAGGAAAAUGAAUUUUGACUUGAAUCAAAUGUUGGGCCUAUCUGUGAUUUGAAUUUCUGAGUUUCAAGUGAAGCUUACAUGCUAAAAUUUUCUGGUAUGUGAAUGGCAUUGAGCCUAGUAAAAUGCUAUGGUGGUAAUCUGAAUUUCUCGAGUUAUUUAAGCGUUAAAUUAGCCGUGACUUUACUCCUUGUUUCUAGUUGAAAUUUCUGGUUGAAAUUCUGGUUUGAAAGUGAUUGGUUGCUAUCAAGAGCUAAUGAUUGAUGAAGCCUUGGUCAUUCAUUUUAUUUUUAUCAGAAAUGCAUUUGUUGAAAUCUAGGGCUAAUGAUUGACGAAGCCCUAGUAAUUUGCUAUGUGAUUUUUUUGCCAUAUUUUGAUCCAUAUUAUGAUUUCGAAACGGAAUCGGAGCUGUGGAAGUCGUUUCUACCUUGCGAACUCGAGUAGCUGUGAUCAAAUUAAGCAAAAAUAUUUUUCAGCUAGUAUUAUAUUAUAAAACUCCAUAACUAGUGUUUUGCCUAAAACUUUCCAACUCGAUAAUUUCCUUUAGCUCAAACUAGCCUUGAUAGCUAUAGCAAAUAAGUUCUAUAGCUUUUGGAAACUCUAAAUCUUAUGAUUAAUUCUUUUUUUUUCUUUCUUUAAGCUUUGCACUUGGAUAGUUAACUACAGGAAAAAGUUCCAAAAUAUGAGCUUUACUAAUUUUAGUGAAAAGCUUGGGAGACUUGCUCGGCAAGAAACCCUAUUUUUUAGAAAAAUAGUUUUUAAGGAUAAUUUUUGCAAAAGCUGUAACUUUAGAGAAAUGUUCAAAGUAACUUUCUAACAUUGUUGUUAAGAGAUUUAUCGACUUAUUUCAAGAAAAUAAUACUAGUUACCCUUUUGUAAGGAUAAGUAUCUUAAGGAAAACUAUAAUAAACAUUUCUUCUAAGUUUGUCAAGUUUCAACCUAAGGAGAUUCCUAAUCUUUCUAAAGGUAGUAAACUAGUAGUAUAUUAAGUAUACCUCAGCUUGUAUAAGCUUAGAAACUGAAUACAAACUUAUAGUUUCAAUAUGUGGUAUUUAGGAUUUUGCGAGGACGCGGAAUUCGAUUCUCAACUUGAUAUCUGAACUCCACUCUUGGUGAGUGUCCCUGCUUGUUUUAUGUUAUGUGGUUAAGCGCUUUAUUAACUUGCUAUAUUAUAACUGUGAAGUGGUUUUGACCCAUCGAAGUGAGCAAUGUGUACUUUAUCACACUAGCCUUUCGAGUGGUGACUUGCGUAAAACAUUUUUUUUAGUGAAUCCAAGUGCUAGACGUAAAGUCGUUGGGUGAAUCCCUCGACGAGUCAAUAAUAAUAAAUCAAGUGCUAGACGUAACGUCGUUGGGUGAAUCCCUCGACGAGUCUAUAAUAAUAAAUCAAGUGCUAGACGUAAAGUCGUUGGGUGAAUCCCUCGACGAGUCUAUAAUAAUAAUGUAAGUUCAGGACGUAACGUCGUUGGGUGAAUCCCUCGACCAGUCUAAGGUACACUUGGGUAUUAUCGCCUUCCUAUUUGUUUACUUCAGUCGAAUCAAUACGUGUUAAUUGUUUUAAUUGAUUGCAUGUUUUUGGGGCACCACUGAGCUUUAGCUCACCCCACGUUUAUUGUUUUCCUUAACAGGUUCUGGAAACUGAAAGCUGGAUGCUUACUUAAGUUUUCCUUUUGGAUUGUAUUUGAAUACUAUAACUUAUUCUGUGGGCUGUAAUAUGUUAUUUGAGAUAAUGCACUUUUCUUUUGGGUUGCCACUUGAAGCUGGAAAAUGGGUAAACCCUAAUUCGAUUACUUGGCAUGUAAAUUUGUAAUAGAGAUUUAUGUAUUUAUCUACCCGGAUUGGUACGACUUUAUAUUUUGGUACGUAGCACGUGGGACGUUUAAGAGCCUCGACUGGCUAAUUUAUCUCUGCUAUCUCUGAAGUUAAGUUGGAUGUAAGGAUGAUCUUAUUCGGGAAGAUUUGUUUUAUCACAGAUUAAGUUCUCCUUUGAAAGGAUUUGGGUUAGAAUGCUUGCGUGAGUCCUGGCGAGAGUUGGGCAGACGGCCCGCCAACCCUUUGGUUCGCCUUAGGGGGAAGUGGGGUCGCCACAGGUGGUAUCAGAGCCAUAUGCCGACAGUUGGGACUUUACGUCCUUCGUCUGGAAAAGCCCCGAGCCUCUCGUUCGUGAAGAGUCACGAAGCGAAACUCUCUGUAGGGGAUGCCAGCGUGCGGGUGGCAAGCUGAUAGGUACCCCGUGAUGUGACCCUGAGAACUGCCACAGGUGGUAUCAGAGCUCUUAUCGAGCUCGUGCCGGGAGAGGACUCUCGGACUGUGGGGAUUGACUCGUUAAGUGUGGAACAAAAGUUUAUAGUUGGGAUAUUAGACAUGUAUGUUGGGUAGGAAUCUCAAAUAUAGGUAAGUUACUCUUGGGACUGGCCAGCCUGAGGUGUGAAUUAUCCUAUAGUCAGAUUCUUGUACCCGAAUACCAGAUAUUUCAUUAAAUGGUGUAUUUGCAAUUGAAAAGAAUUCAGUAUAUCGUAUUAUGAUGUGACUAGAAAUCAUGACUAAGUUUGGAAAAGUAGGAUCGAAGGAAUCAAGUCUAACUUUUGAAAGUUAAAGGUAAAGAGCCAAUGGUGUGAUCUUGAAGAUUAGUGCCAAUUACGUAUUUAAGAGGAAUCUAUGGAAGCGAAAUCGGAAGAAUGAGUGGGGCCUAGUGGGAUUGUCAAAGACUAAACUAAUGAAGGUUAUGUUGAAUCUAAACUAAGGGUUGAGCUAUUAGUUAUGUGGUUAUAAUAAUCGGUGUAUUAUUGACUUGCUUUCCUUCAUGUUUAUAAAGAUCGAAAUGUGAGUUAUGUGUGAAAAUAUUAAAUGUACCGUGAAUUGUUUGGCUUUUAAAGUUGUAUGAACCUUGGUAUGUGAAUAUAUGCUUUAAGUGUUUUAAAUUUUCUUUCUCUUGGUAUUCAUGUUGACUUCACUUAAUAAUAACAAGUAAAUAAAUAGCAACAUCUUCGCUUGAUCACUUUAUUUUUAUCAAUAGGCAUAACUAGGCUAUGGAUCUACAAGUUAGAAAUAGAGGACGUGGGAGACCAACUAGGCAACACCCCGAGGGUGGGAGUGAGAGGGAACCUGAGGUCAACCCAGACCAUGGUCAGGGAAACGUGGCCGGAGAUCCAGUGGCUACCGCAAUCAAUAGAAUAACUGAUGUGUUAGAGCGCAUGACUGAGCAUCAAGCCCAUGGAGCGGUGCAUCAGCAAGGAGGCCCAAUCGAUUAUGAGGAUCGGGCAUUAGAGAGAUUCCUGAAGUUUGGACCUCCUAAGUUCUACGGAGGCCCAGAACCUGAGGUAGCCGAAGGUUGGUGGGAAAGGAUCUCUGAUAUUUUUGCCGCUCUAAAUUACACGGAAGAGAGGCAAGUGACUUUUGCAGCAUUCCAGUUUGAAGGAGCUGCUCGUUCCUGGUGGAACCUAAUUAGGGUCAAUUGGGACAGGAAUCAUAUUCCCAGGACUUGGGCGAACUUCACAAGGGAGUUCAACGCCAAAUUUCUUCCACCUCUCAUUCAAGAAAAGAGAGAGGACGACUUCAUAAAAUGUAAACAAGGGGCGAUGAGUGUCGCCGAAUAUGAAGUCCAGUUCACAAAAUUGUCCCGAUUUGCUCCUGAACUGAUAGCCACGGAACAAAGGCGUGUCCGGAGGUUUGUGCAAGGACUAAACGUGGAAAUUCAGGAGGGAUUAGCUGCUGUUCGGAUAGAUACAUUUGCUGAUGCUGUAGAAAGAGCUCAAAGGGUUGAAGUUGCUAGAACUCAAGUAAAAACUUACCAGGCCAAGAAAAGAUUUGCACCUAGCAGCAGUCGGGAGCCGACUUAUACAAAUGCUCCACUGGCCAAAGUGGGUCGAGAAACUGGUGCCAGAGGUGCCGGAGGAAGAAAUAAUGGAACUAACGGGGGACCAAAUGGAAGAGAUCAACCUAGGAACGCCCCACAAGGAAGUCGUGCGAUAACUUUCCUGGGAACUUGUGGGUAUUGCAAGAAACCUGGACAUACCGAGGCCGGUUGCUGGAGGAAAGCAGGAAAGUGCUUGAAGUGUGGAAGCAGCGAGCACCAAAUUGCCAGUUGCCCGAAAAUACAAGAGGAUAAUACCCUGAAUGAUGAACCAGCCAACAUUAGAGAGAAUAGGCCGAAAGUUCCUACCAGGGUUUACGCUAUAAAUGACCAACCUGUACCUGAUUCUUCGGAAGCCGUGGAAGGUACUCUUCCCAUUUCUCAUCAAUUAGCUAGAGUAUUAAUUGAUCAUAGUGCAACUCAUUCAUUUGUGAACCAAACUUUUCCAUCCGGAGUUAACGUCAAACCUGUUAGAUUACCCUUGACCUUGAAGUUAAAACAUCAAUGGGUAAUAAGAUUUUAAUCAGUAGCUUAACUUAUAAUAACUGCGAAUUCUGGAUUGAAGGGCAUAAAAUACUAGUGGAUCUAAUCAAAUUGGACAUACGAGGUUAUGAUGUUAUUAUAGGAAAGAAUUUUCUAGCUCAUCACCAUGCUAAGCUUGAUUGCAGAACAAAAGUAUUGGAACUUUGGAUUUCCGGAGAAGCAACUUGGGAGUUAGAAGAAGAAAUGCAGAAAAAGUAUUCCGAUUUGUUUCUCAAGAAAGUGUGAAUUUUGAGGACAAAAUUCAUUGUAAGGAGGGGAGGAUGUGAGAACCCUGAAAAUAUACAUAUAAAUAUCAGUGCAUAUUUCAUUUGCAUUUUAAUUCUUUAAUAAAUUUUAGCACUAAGUCCAAUUGUUUUUAAAUAAGUACGUAGAAAUAAACGUUAUGUGCAAAAUAAAAGAAUUGUGCUAAACUACUAAACUUCUUAGUUUUGUUACAUUAACUUCAUAUUUCAAUGGUAAACUAUUUCAUUGAUCCAAUAAUUAAUUUUUUUGAAUUCUAGUAUUGUAAUUAAUUGUUUUGAAAUAAAAGGGUAAAGAUAAUUUCUAUGUAAUAAAUAAUAUAAUUGUGCCAAUAUUGAAUUAUUCGGUUUUGCUAUACUAAAUUAAUAUUUCUUGAGUUGGAUUAAUUCUAUUACUUUAAAAUAAAUUCUUUGAUUUCCGAUAACUAGUUUUAAUCGUUAAUAAUGUUAAAUGUUAAUAGGAAUUUCCGCGUUAAGAUAAAAAUCAAUGAAUUUUAGAUAAAUAUGAUAUUCCUAUACUAAACAUACUUAAGGCCUGAAAAUUCGAUAAAUUUUGUGUAGGAUAACUUUAAUUCUUGAGAAUAAAUAAUUGGAGAUGCGGAUAAUUAAGUUAAUCGCUAAAUAAUGUUAGGAACCUUAAUAUUUAAGUUUAAUCGAUAUUUAUUCGAUAAAAAUGGUUAAGUAUAUUGGGGGGGUUAUUAGGCGUUCAAAUCACCCUUGAGGAUAAAUUUGAGAAAUUAAGUUGAGAUUAGGAAACCAAGUGAAAAGACUAAAAGACCCUUACAAUUCCAUGCGAAACCAAACGACCCUUAUGACAAAUUCCCAUCACCGCAACUUCGACCAAUUGCAUUUUAACCAAUUCGAUACGCAACCUUUCGUAAACCGCGGCACCACAAAACCACUUGAUCAAAUUCACACUACAUCUCACAACCAUUUCAGCCGACUCUUUCUCUGCACAAACCAAAGUCGAAAUCAAUUUCACUCCAAAUACCACUCUACUCUUUCAUUCUUGAUUCACAACAAAACCUCAUUUCUUCCCUGCCUUGACCGAGAGCACCGAGAGAGGGAGAGAGCUGCCGGAAACUUCUUGGAUUCAGCCGUGAGUUGGAGCAAAGCCAGGGAAGGGAAUCUGCCGGAAGCUUCACCAAUUCUACCUACAUCCACAACCCUUUUCAGCCGCAACUCCAAACCAGAAUCACCAUCUGCACUUGGCCGAGAGCUAGGAAGGAAAUUUCUGGAAUUUCGUGUGAAAGAUUGGUUGCUAGCUGAGGUAAUUUCUGGUCUAAAAUAGGUUGAUUAUUAGUUGAUCAAGCUAUAUCAGAGAUUACAUGUUUGGAUUAUACAAUCGGAUGCUGAAAUCAAAACCUUAGGAAAAUUUCUGUUUUGAGAAAUUGUUGCUACCGAGACUUGAGGUGUUAUUGCAGCUCCAAUUUUGUUUUGUGUGAUAAUCUGAACACCCAAAUGUCUUUAGCUGAGUAAGAACUGGAAGAUUAAGACCAUGUAUGAUGAAUUGGGCAUUCGAAUGAAGUGUUAAAGCAGAGAUAAAUUUCUGGGUUAGUUUGGGGUAAGAAAAUGUUGCCGUGAGCUUGAGCAGAAAAUGUAAGUUUAACUUGCCUAAAUGUGACCCUCUGAAUUGAUCCCUGUGCUUAAUUAGUCAAUAACUAAUUAGUUAAGCUGUGCAUGUAGCAAUGAGAUGGUCUAAACCAGAAAAAUAAAAAGGAAAAUUUGA